ACGUAGGAGGCUAGCGUUAUCCGGAUUUAUUGGGCGUAAAGCGCGUGCAGGCGGUCUAUCAAGUUGGAUGUGAAAGCUCCUGGCUUAACUGGGAGAGGUCGUUCAAAACUGAUAGUCUCGAGAAUGGUAGAGGGAGGUGGAAUUCCGGGUGUAGUGGUGAAAUGCGUAGAUAUCCGGAGGAACACCAGUGGCGAAAGCGGCCUCCUGGGCCAUUUCUGACGCUAAGACGCGAAAGCUAGGGUAGCAAACGG
rnacentral:rRNA from 1 species